UGUGAAUGGGAAUUCCAAGAAUCUAGUAGUUGCUCAGUCCCACCAGGCUAGUUGCUUCAGCUGGUCUCCUAUAGAAGUAGAUUCCAACAGAUGUGCUGGGGCUGAGAAAUCAAGAUCAAGGCGUGAGCAAGUGCCAUGUCCGGUGAGAGCGACCAUCUUCCAGGAUGGCUCUUCGAAUACUGAGUCCUCAAAUGGUGGAGAAGCAGAAGGGGAGAAAAGAUCAUAUCAUGCAUGAAGCCUCUCUUCUCAGAGCCUCACUACCAUUUAUAAAGAUCCACAUGACUGA